rnacentral:snoRNA from 1 species
UCAAUGUGGAUCUCCCAGGAGGUCACUCACCCCAGGCACUGCCCAGGAGGCACAGAGGAGCAGAGGGCUCUGCUGCUAAGGUCCAGUCCCUUUGCGCACUGCUGGAGAUCAAGCUGGGCUUGCGCCUGCGCAUUCCUACGCCUUCUCAGGGUCCGAGACCAAGGAGACCAACCAUGCAGGAAACAGAA